rnacentral:pre_miRNA from 1 species
CAUCUACUCCCUCCGUUCGGAAAUACUUGUCUUAGAAAUGGUUGUAUCUAGAACUAAAAUAAGUCUACAUACAACCAUUUCUAGGACAAGUAUUUCCGAACGGAGGGAGUAGCUG